GUAGGUGAACCUGCGGAAGGAUCAUUAAGAGAACUUGCCCUCCGGGGUAAAUCUCCCACCCUAUGUUUACAUACCUUUGUUGCUUUGGCGGGCCCGUCUCACGACCACCGGCGGCAGUUUAGCUGGUCAGUGCCCGCCAGAGGACCCCAACUCUAAAUUUUAUGUCGUCUGAGUACUAUAUAAUAGUUAAAACUUUCAACAACGGAUCUCUUGGUUCUG
rnacentral:misc_RNA from 1 species